rnacentral:sRNA from 1 species
AAAGUCGUAACAAGGUUUCCGUAGGUGAACCUGCGGAAGGAUCAUUACAGAAUGAAAAGGUGCUUAACUGCAUUUUUUCUUACACAUGUGUUUUUCUUUUUUUGAAAACUUUGCUUUGGUAGGCCUUCUAUAUGGGGCCUGCCAGAGAUUAAACUCAACCAAAUUUUAUUUAAUGUCAACCGAUUAUUUAAUAGUCAAAACUUUCAACAACGGAUCUCUUGGUUCUCGCAUCGAUGAAGAACGCAGCGAAAUGCGAUAAGUAAUAUGAAUUGCAGAUAUUCGUGAAUCAUCGAAUCUUUGAACGCACAUUGCGCCCUUUGGUAUUCCAAAGGGCAUGCCUGUUUGAGCGUCAUUUCUCCCUCAAACCCUCGGGUUUGGUGUUGAGCGAUACGCUGGGUUUGCUUGAAAGAAAGGCGGAGUAUAAACUAAUGGAUAGGUUUUUUCCACUCAUUGGUACAAACUCCAAAACUUCUUCCAAAUUCGACCUCAAAUCAGGUAGGACUACCCGCUGAACUUAAGCAUAUCAAUAGCCGGGAGGAA